UACGUAGGGUGCGAGCGUUAAUCGGAAUUACUGGGCGUAAAGCGUGCGCAGGCGGUUCGUUGUGUCGGUGGUGAAAGCCCCGGGCUUAACCUGGGAAUGGCCAUGGAAACUGGCGAACUGGAGUGUGGCAGAGGGGGGUGGAAUUCCGCGUGUAGCAGUGAAAUGCGUAGAGAUGCGGCGGAACACCGAUGGCGAAGGCAGCCCCCUGGGCUGAGAUUGACGCUCAGGCACGAAAGCGUGGGGAGCAAACAGG
rnacentral:rRNA from 1 species